rnacentral:rRNA from 1 species
GUGUCAGCCGCCGCGGUAAUACGGGGGGUGCAAGCGUUGUUCGGAAUUAUUGGGCGUAAAGCGCGUGUAGGCGGUUUGUUAAGUCUGUUGUGAAAGCCCUGGGCUCAACCCAGGAAGUGCACUGGAUACUGGCAGACUUGAAUACGGGAGAGGGUAGUGGAAUUCCUGGUGUAGGAGUGAAAUCCGUAGAUAUCAGGAGGAACACCGGUGGCGAAGGCGGCUACCUGGACCGAUAUUGACGCUGAGACGCGAAAGCGUGGGUAGCAAACAGGAUUAGAUACCCCCGUAGUCC